ACAUACAUGGAUAAUAUUUAUUAGAGAGGAAAAUAUAUAUAUAUAAAUCUAAACAUGAUUAGUAUAAUGGUUAUACUUUGCAUUUAAGAUAUACUUUAAAAUGUAUAUCUUUCUAACUUAAUUUCAGUCAGACCAUGUGAUAUUAACCUCCAUUCUUAUUUCUCUGACAAAAGGUGAUCUGUGAUCUGGACUUUAAUUCUUGUCCUCAUUCACCAUGAGAUGGAAGUCCCUCUGUUUGAGUUAACACAUACUAGAUUUUAGAGAUAGGAAGCAUCAACGAUAUCUAUGUGUUUAAUGUCUUAGUUAAAGUGGUUUAACCCCUUAAGGACACAUGACAUGUGUGACAUGUCAUGAUUCCCUUUUAUUCCAGAAGUCUGGUCCUUAAGGGGUUAAGUGUUUUGAAGUUGGAACUUGAAUUAGUUCAUAAGGCAUUUUGGGUGUCAAUGAACAACUUGCUGUCUCAACUUCUCUCAAUGUCAAUUUUUUUCAGCUAUUUGGUUUAAAAUUGCUACACAAAUGGCCGUGAAACAUUGUUUUCUUAGUUGUGACCUGUACUGUUUGUAGCAGAAUAAUAGUCAUAUUUUCUGGGAUAAGAUAUCUGACAUUAUGUCAAAUCUGGCCUUGGCGGCAGUAAGGGGUCUCUGUGUCACACUUGCCAAGACUGAAAUUCAACUGGUCAGUAACUACUAGGUGAGUGGAACAUUUGAAUUCUGCUCUAAUAUUUCAAAACUGAUAUUUAUUGAUGUUCUUUCAAGUGAUAAAUGAUUUAGAAUUUAUGGUAUAAUAGGGAAUCUCCUAAAAGGACUCGCUGUCUGUCUUUCUGUACUGAUUAUACUUUAUUAAAUUGUUAUUUAUUGCAAUAUUCUUGCACCCCCUGAAUUGUACCUUAACGGUUACCAUUUUAAGUGCUAUUCAUUAAGCCACAAAUGCCAACAUUUGGAACAAUCCUGGAGCAUUUUGAUGCCAAUCAAUCACGUAAACCAGUUAGAGAGAUUUGACCAUGUACAGUGACUCCUUUAACUCCUUAAGGAUCAAACUUCUGGAAUAAAAGGGAAUCAUGACAUGUCACACAUGUAAUGUGUCCUUAAGGGUUUACAAUCAUUGUGGAACUUGAAAAGGUGUGCAUUAGUGUAUAUUUUCGUGUAUAUGUGAAAG